GCCUGGCUGGCUCAGUCAGUAGAGCAUGUGACUCUUGAUCUCAGAGUCUCAGGGUUGUGAGUUCAAGUCCCACAUUGGGCG
rnacentral:tRNA from 1 species